ensembl:snRNA U6 U6 spliceosomal RNA
GUUCUAUGCUCACUUCAGCAGUACAUGAACUAAAUUUGGAAGGACACAGAAGAGAUUAAAAUGGCCCCUGUAGAAGGCUUACACACAAAUAUAAGCAUUCCACAUUUUU